GACGAACGCUGGCGGCGCGCUUAACACAUGCAAGUCGAGCGAGAACCGGAGCUUGCUCCGGGGACAGCGGCGAACGGGUGAGUAACACGUGGGUAAUCUGCCCUCGAUUCUGGGAUAGCCCGGGGAAACCCGGAUUAAUACCGGAUAGCCUUUCGAGCUCUCGAGCCUGAAAGAAAAGGUAGCUUCGGCCUCCGAUCGAGGAUGAGCCCGCGGCGGAUUAGCUUGUUGGCGGGGUAAUGCCCACCAAGGCGACGAUCCGUAGCUGGUCGUGAGAGGACGAUCAGCCACACUGGGAC
rnacentral:rRNA from 1 species